CCUACGUGUGGCAGCAGUGAGGAAUAUUGGUCAAUGGGCGCGAGCCUGAACCAGCCAAGUAGCGUGAAGGAUGACUGCCCUACGGGUUGUAAACUUCUUUUAUAAAGGAAUAAAGUGAGGCACGUGUGCCUUUUUGUAUGUACUUUAUGCAUAAGGAUCGGCUAACUCCGUGCCAGCAGCCGCGGUAAUACGGAGGAUCCGAGCGUUAUCCGGAUUUAUUGGGGUUAAAGGGAGCUGUGAUGGGUUGUUAAGUCAGUUGUGAAAGUUUGCGGCUCAAACGUAAAAUUGCAAUUGAUACUGGCAGUCUUGAGUACAGUUGAGGUAGGCGGAAUUCGUGGUGUAGCGGUGAAAUGCUUAGAUAUCACGAAGAACUCCGAUUGCGAAGGCAGCUUACUAACCUGCCACUGACAUUGAUGCUCGAAAGUGUGGGUAUCAAACAGGAUUAGAUACCCCUGUAGUC
rnacentral:rRNA from 1 species